AGUGAACGCUGGCGGUAGGCCUAACACAUGCAAGUCGAACGGCAGCACAGUAAGAGCUUGCUCUUACGGGUGGCGAGUGGCGGACGGGUGAGGAAUACAUCGGAAUCUACUUUUUCGUGGGGGAUAACGUAGGGAAACUUACGCUAAUACCGCAUACGACCUACGGGUGAAACCAGGGGAUCUUCGGACCUUGCGCGAUUGAAUGAGCCGAUGUCGGAUUAGCUAGUUGGCGGGGUAAAGGCCCACCAAGGCGACGAUCCGUAGCUGGUCUGAGAGGAUGAUCAGCCACACUGGAACUGAGACACGGUCCAGACUCCUACGGGAGGCAGCAGUGGGGAAUAUUGGACAAUGGGCGCAAGCCUGAUCCAGCCAUACCGCGUGGGUGAAGAAGGCCUUCGGGUUGUAAAGCCCUUUUGUUGGGAAAGAAAAGCAGCAGGUUAAUACCCCGCUGUUCUGACGGUACCCAAAGAAUAAGCACCGGCUAACUUCGUG
rnacentral:rRNA from 1 species